AUAGAUGCUACUAUGCUUUUGUUAAGUGAAUGAGUGAAUAGGCAAGGUAAGGAACCCACUAAAAGUCACAAUACAUUGCAAGUACCUUCUCAGGCCCUGGCCAUGUGCCCUAUUACUUUCUAGUGAGAUUUCUUUCUUUCUCCCAAUUUCCACCUAACCUAGAAAGACACAAACGCUACUGAUUCUCUGCGGGUCUGAAAUGUUAAAAAAUUUUCCAAGAGUGUCAAAUGAUGCAUGCCUUGGUCGGCAUAAACAUGGCCAUCGUCUCAUUGCUUGGGACCUGCAGGAAAAAAAAUUCAAGUCAUCAUGAGAAAUGGUGCAGAUGGUAUAUUUGGCAUCACCAGCCUGCGUAGAUCAGAGAUGCAUUUAUUUACAUGCCUUUGUUUGCAUUGUGACCAUUUAUCUGGGCCCUUGCUCAUAUUUAACCUUUUGAAGGGUCAGCAGGGAGCGGGCCAUUUUGCCCUUGGGAUUGGAUGGAACAAGCCCCCUGUAGGGAUGAUGUUUGUCUUUCUUCCUACCUGCAAAACGCUCGUUUCUUACAGCAGCAGAAAACAUUUGGUUAUGUUAUCUCGUGGGUCCAGGAGGAGUGUGGACUGUGCCAAAUUUAAGAGCCAUUGCCAAAUGCCAUGGUUCGCAUUAUGUAGACAGCACGCCAGUGGAACUGGCGCUACUCGUUGUAGAUUUGAGCUCUCGCCUCAGAGGCAAAGGAUCCCUGUUAGUUCUUUCCAACUGGGAUCAUGCCCUUCGCCGUUAGUUGUGAGAUAUCUUUGUGUCUGUGCAGGCACCACUGGCUGACCACUGCCGCUGACCUCUUCUGUGCUGGGACAGGGAGCCCCCAGAGCGGUAUCAAAACAGUCUCGGCUCCCAUGGGUGACUUGCAGAGGCGAAAAUACAGCAGGGUGCCUUAGAGGGGGCCUUGGAGAGCUUGGCUCUGGAUGCGUACAACAGAGACAAGUUACCUUCUCCGAGCUUUGGUUUCCUCAUCAUUCAACAGGAAUGAUCAGAGUUGUUAUGACAACUGAGCUCAUCCGUACAAAUUGGCACCAAAAGUAAGAUAAGGUGGUGUCCGGAGUAUGGGGUCUGGAGCUUGACUACCUGGAUUCAAAUCCCUGCUCAGUCAUCUCUUGGCUGUGUGACUUAAGGUAAGUUACUCACCCUCUCUGUGCCUCAAUGUCUUCAUCUGGUGGAUGGAGCUCACAGACUCUAGUCUGUCAUAGGGUAGCUGUGAAGAUUAGACGAGUCGAUGCAUGUAGAGAGCUUCUAACAGUGCUUGACCUUGAGCAGCCAUUCAGUACAUUAUACAUUAGCAAGGUGGGAUAAGGAAAUGGGGGUUUGGGAAGGUGAAUGGCUGACUCCAAAGCACUUACGUUGGGAUCCACAGUGGAAACUCUUCUAAUCUUUUAUCAACAACCAGAUGAGAAGAUACAUCUGCUUCUGCUUCUAAGAGUUGGUGAUUCUCAUCCUUCUCUCUGCACUUGCCCUUGCCGUGUCCUUGGUCAGCACAGAGGAAGGACAACAGCCCAUCUCCCUCACAUCGGAAGUGGCUCCACAAGUUGGCCUUCACUGCCAUCAACCCUAACAGGUGUGGUGCUCUAUCUCCACAGUCCUCCAGAGCGCCCUCAAGUCCCUCAGGGUGUCUUUACUCCAAGAAGGGGUUCUAGACUAGACAAGCAGAGGUGUUGCAGAAAGGAAGAUACUGCAAAGGAUUCAGGCAGCAAAGGGUGUGCUCCCCACACUGGGGAAGACAUCUGGGCAGAAGGGCCUGGGCUGGACCUCACAUCCAUCCCUCUUCCCUUGGGGUCCUUGACCACCCUUGAGAAUGGCACCUACAUGCUCUAAUUCUCCAUAAAAUCCAGAGGCAAAAUGUCCCUGCUGUAAAGACCUUGAACCCUUUUUGGGAAGGUUUUAUGAACUUAAUAUCAUGGGUUGCUCUAACCCCAGCCUUUGUCCUGACAGCAUCUGCUCAGGGAGUUUGAGAUUCAGCCAGUCUGUAAAGAGCUUCAGAUCCAGGGCUUUGAGGUGGGGAGAAGUGGUCACCUUGGAGAAAGCAGGAAACUGUGGCCAGCUGGGGCAUUCUUUGCUAUAGAUUCCAAGAGACAAACUUGCUGAUCCCAGGUCAAGUCUGCCCCUGCUUCCCUGCAUCUAGAACCAUCUCUGGCUCCACCUCCCAUUAACACCCCAGAACAGAUUCCCUACCCACCUCCUCAAGAAGAACAUUGCCUCUGGGGAUUUUCUAAGAGUUUUUAGGAUAAGCAGCAGUUAGAAGCUAACAAUAAGUAAAAUUUCCAGAAAUCAAGAGAAACUUGCAAUGUUCCUUGACACUUUAAAUGAUGCACUUGAAACAAGAGGCUUACAUUAGGAUCUAAAUUAGAGUUCUUGAGUGGCUUUUUGUAUUUUUUCUUUCACGUUAACCUGACUACAACUUUAUCUUCUCCAUUCACUUCCAAGAAGUCCUUAUAUAAUAAAGAGUUGAAGGCUGAAGCCCUUGCUUCCUCAAUAGGGGGCAGGCUCACCAGCUCCAUCUUGUCAGUUACCUCUUAAUGGUUGGUAGGAUGAGGGAAGCUUUCUCAAAGGACAGUUAAAAUAGUGCUUUAAGAAAUCCUCAGCCAAUAAAUAGUUGCUUCCAGAGUUAUAAAGUCAGUUUUCUUAACCUCUCAAUCUCAACUCAACUCAAAUUACAAAGUUUACAUGCCUUUGGGGAUGGCUGUAUUAAGUAAAUAGAGAGGAAUGGUCACAUUCAGUGUAAGCUAAAACACCCAAGGCUGGCAGUAGGAAAAGGAGCUACCUACCUAUCAGGUCUUUCAUAAAGCCAGUCCCUUAAGUAGAAAGAAUAAAGUUCUCUCAAGACUUACCCUAUGGACUGCCUUUCACAGCUGGUUCAUAUUUAUAAGCCAAUUUGUCUGGAAGUAAAUCUCUUUAACACACCCAACUGACUCCAAGAGGUGUGUCCCAUGGGAACCAAUCUUAAAUAACUGUCUCAAGAAAAGUUUUAGCAGCAAUAUUGUCAGUCCUGGAAUUUCCACCUUUGGGGGGAAAAAAAAUCAACAAUAGAAUGCUUGGAAAUACAGAAUACACAGAGUUUAGCAAACUGCCAAAUUAAAUUCAGACACACACACACAAAUCUGCUAAUACCUGGUUAAAGAGUUGGCAUGGGAAGAAACAGACUUCUCAUUCAAGCCUGAAGCUCGGUAAUGGGUCAUUUGACCUGAAAUAACUUGGGCGGAAGUUGGCCUUAUUGUCUUCCACAAUCUCUUCCCACACAGUCAAAAAAGGGGAUGCAAUCUUAAGAUUUUUUCUUCCUCAUUCUCUCCCGCCCUUUCUCCUCUCCCUCCCUCCCUUUUAUUUUCUCUCUCUCCUUUCUUCCUUCUUUUCUUUCUCUUUCAAUCUUUGGGCAUCAAAAAGGGUAUCCCAGAAAACUUCAAAUGAAGUUUUAGAAGAGGACCGUGUGUUGGUUUCAGUUGUUUUUAGGGUGGGGGCUUGAACAACCUCAUCUCAAAAAUGGAGAUUUUUUUUAUUACCUCUUUUGGUUGAGAUAUAAUUAAUAUAUAAUAAAGCUAUCUAAUUUACUGAAUUGGUCUGAUUCACAAGUUAAAUAAGGUUAAAUCAAAGAAAACAUGUAUAAGUCCCUCUAGACAGUGUCCAGGGUUGACUGGAUUAUAAACAGACAUAACCACUGAGGUCACUUUUUAAUUUAAAAACCCUCAAUGGCUCCUGACUUCCUACAGAACAGUCUAAAAAUCUAAGGCUCAAAAAUGUCAGGCUCUCCUUUCUAGUGCUACCUGCUGCCCCCAUCUCUUAUACAUACCAUUUGUCAGAUGCAACCAGAUAAUAGAAAUUUCCAGUCUCUCAGCUUCCUCCUGCUGCCCCAGGUCUGCUUAUCAAGGCCCUGCCCAUCCUUCAAAGUCAGAAGUCAUCUCCUCCAUGGAGUCCUCCAGGUCAGUCCUGCUGGUAUUCAUUUCCUUGCCUAUGGCCUAUCUCAUUACAUUGUUAUUGCUGCUAAGGUAUUUGACACAUUCUGUUUCAUAUUAACUACUUCCUGUGACGAGCACCCUUCUUUCGUGUAAUUUUGAUAAACAUUCAUUGAGCAUCUAUAAUAUGUGGGCAGAGAGCCAGGCAUGGGGAGGAGCUCGGCAGAGGUACAGAGAUGAGUGAUGUGGUGUUUACUCUGGAAGAGCUCAGGGCCUGGUGGGGAGCCUUGAGGUGGCAAGUCCCACCAUGCACGAUCCAUCUCCAGCAGUGUCUACGGUUUCCAUGCACACCAGAUAUAGAUGCUAAUACAAAUGAAGCCGUGCUAAAGGUAAAAAAAAAAGAAAAAAAAAAAAAAAAAAA
rnacentral:lncRNA from 1 species